rnacentral:rRNA from 1 species
ACCGGCAGCUCAAGUGGUGGCCAUUAUUAUUGGGCCUAAAGCGUUCGUAGCCGGUUUGAUAAGUCUCUGGUGAAAUCCCGCAGCUUAACUGUGGGACUUGCUGGAGAUACUAUCAGACUUGAGGUCGGGAGAGGUUAGGGGUACUCCCAGGGUAGGGGUGAAAUGCUAUAAUCGUGGGAGGACCAGCUGUGGCGAAGGCGGCUAAGUGGAACGAACCUGACGGUGAGUAACGAAAGCAAGGGGCGCGGAGUU